CGGCCACAUUGGGACUGAGAUACGGCCCAGACUCCUACGGGAGGCAGCAGUGGGGAAUAUUGCACAAUGGGCGCAAGCCUGAUGCAGCGACGCCGCGUGCGGGAUGACGGCCUUCGGGUUGUAAACCGCUUUUGAUCGGGAGCAAGCCUUCGGGUGAGUGUACCUUUCGAAUAAGCACCGGCUAACUACGUGCCAGCAGCCGCGGUAAUACGUAGGGUGCAAGCGUUAUCCGGAAUUAUUGGGCGUAAAGGGCUCGUAGGCGGUUCGUCGCGUCCGGUGUGAAAGUCCAUCGCUUAACGGUGGAUCCGCGCCGGGUACGGGCGGGCUUGAGUGCGGUAGGGGAGACUGGAAUUCCCGGUGUAACGGUGGAAUGUGUAGAUAUCGGGAAGAACACCAAUGGCGAAGGCAGGUCUCUGGGCCGUUACUGACGCUGAGGAGCGAAAGCGUGGGGAGCGAACAGGAUUAGAUACCCUGGUAGUCCACGCCGUAAACGGUGGAUGCUGGAUGUGGGGCCCGUUCCACGGGUUCCGUGUCGGAGCUAACGCGUUAAGCAUCCCGCCUGGGGAGUACGGCCGCAAGGCUAAAACUCAAAGAAAUUGACGGGGGCCCGCACAAGCGGCGGAGCAUGCGGAUUAAUUCGAUGCAACGCGAAGAACCUUACCUGGGCUUGACAUGUUCCCGACAGCCGUAGAGAUAUGGCCUCCCUUCGGGGCGGGUUCACAGGUGGUGCAUGGUCGUCGUCAGCUCGUGUCGUGAGAUGUUGGGUUAAGUCCCGCAACGAGCGCAACCCUCGCCCUGUGUUGCCAGCACGUCAUGGUGGGAACUCACGGGGGACCGCCGGGGUCAACUCGGAGGAAGGUGGGGAUGACGUCAGAUCAUCAUGCCCCUUACGUCCAGGGCUUCACGCAUGCUACAAUGGCCGGUACAACGGGAUGCGACACGGCGACGUGGAGCGGAUCCCUGAAAACCGGUCUCAGUUCGGAUUGGAGUCUGCAACCCGACUCCAUGAAGGCGGAGUCGCUAGUAAUCGCGGAUCAGCAACGCCGCGGUGAAUGCGUUCCCGGGCCUUGUACACACCGCCCGUCAAGUCAUGAAAGUGGGUAGCACCCGAAGCCGGUGGCCUAACCCUUUGUGGAUGGAGCCGUCUAAGGUGAGACUCGUGAUUGGGACUAAGUCGUAACAAGGUAGCCGUACCGGAAGGUGCGGCUG
rnacentral:rRNA from 1 species